GGUUUACAGGGCUCGUUUUGAUCUGGUCUAUUUUCGAUUGGUUGAUUCCUAGUAUCGUUGAAGGGGAUGGCGAUUUGAUGCCGGAGCUGCCGGUGGAUGGCUCCCAGGACGCUGCUGCUGCUGAGGUGCACUAGCUGCAAGAUGCGACGGGUGCGGCGGUUCACAGCGACCACAUGGAUGAACAAGGGCCAAAGGAUGGAGGAUGCGAUUUCUGGUAUUGGAUUGACGAAUAUGCCGGGUUUCUGUGUGAAACUGGAACAGUUCCACAAGAAUCGCCUAUGCUGAUUCCUACGGGGUGGGUUGUGGUAGAUGCUGGGAUGGCUGAAGACAACCACUCGAGGCUUAUCCAGGAUGCGUCUGAACGAUGCAGAGGCCGGGGGAAGUCCUCCUUUUCGAAAAAAAGAAAAGAAAAAAAAAGGAUGCAUCUGAAGAUUUAGUCAAUGUAGUUAGGCCCCUGGUGGGCAUCGGAAAGGAGAUAUCUGAAAUGCUCAAAGUUGUAGUUUGCUUGCUGAUUGUACCAGUUGCUGUACUGAUGUACAAGAGCUAGUUUAGCGUUUUCAUUCUGGAUUAGAGCAGUGAGCGACAGAAUGUUUUAUU